rnacentral:tRNA from 1 species
UAUAAUAAAAUUUUAUAAAUAAAUAAGGAAAGAGAGGGAUUC